AGUGAACGCUGGCGGUAGGCCUAACACAUGCAAGUCGAACGGCAGCACAGUAAGAGCUUGCUCUUACGGGUGGCGAGUGGCGGACGGGUGAGGAAUACAUCGGAAUCUACUUUUUCGUGGGGGAUAACGUAGGGAAACUUACGCUAAUACCGCAUACGACCUACGGGUGAAAGCAGGGGAUCUUCGGACCUUGCGCGAUCGAAUGAGCCGAUGUCGGAUUAGCUAGUUGGCGGGGUAAAGGCCCACCAAGGCGACGAUCCGUAGCUGGUCUGAGAGGAUGAUCAGCCACACUGGAACUGAGACACGGUCCAGACUCCUACGGGAGGCAGCAGUGGGGAAUAUUGGACAAUGGGCGCAAGCCUGAUCCAGCCAUACCGCGUGGGUGAAGAAGGCCUUCGGGUUGUAAAGCCCUUUUGUUGGGAAAGAAAAGCAGCAGGUUAAUACCCCGCUGUUCUGACGGUACCCAAAGAAUAAGCACCGGCUAACUUCG
rnacentral:rRNA from 1 species